rnacentral:tRNA from 1 species
ACAGUGGUGGUUCAAUGGUAGAAUUCUCACCUUCCAUGCAGGAGACGCAGGUUUGAUUCCUGGCCAGUGCA